rnacentral:rRNA from 1 species
UGGCAAGUCGACCAAUGGCGAAAGCAGUCAUCAAGGGCAUACCCGUUGAUCAAGAGCGAAAGUUAAGGGUUCGAAGACGAUCAGAUACCGUCGUAGUCUUAACUAUAAAUGAUACAGACCAGGGAUAGGACACUGUCCAUCUCGACUCCUCCCGAACCUCGGAGAAAUUGAUCAGUCUUUGGGUUCUGGGGGGAGUAUGGUCGCAAGGCUGAAACUUAAAGGAAUUGACGGAAGGGCACACAAAGAGUGGAACCUGCGGCUUAAUUUGACUCAACACGGGAAAACUCACCAGGUCCAGAUACACGUAUGAAAGUCAAGCUGAAAGACUUUACUCAAUGAUGUAAGUGGUGGUGCAUGGUCGUUCGUAGUUCGUGGAUUGAUUUGUCUGGUCUAUUCCGAUAACGAGCGAGACCCCAUCGUUCCUACUAGGGGCGGUUAGCCCGCUGGGUCGCAAGGCCCGGUAGCUUCCGCUUAAGAUUAACUUCUUAGACGUAUCAGAGCCGAUAAGGUUCUUGAAAUGGGUUAAUAACAGGUCAGUCAUGCCCUUAGAUGUUCUGGGCCGCACGCGCGUUACAAUGGCACGUAAAGCGAGUGCUGGCAAAAAAAGGCGUAACCGGGGCCGAAAGGCCCUGGUAACCCUUAGUCCCUGCCUUGACUGGGACAGAUCUUUGCAAUUAUUGGUCUCCAACGAGGAAUUUUUAGUAGGCGCAGGUCAUUAACCUGCGCCGAAUGCGUCCCUGCCCUUUGUACACACCGCC